rnacentral:rRNA from 1 species
AUGCUACCGGACAAGUUUGUUGCCGGAGGUAUCAUCACUAAGCUUCCUCCUUCAUGGAGGAACUUUGCUACCUUACUGAAACACAAGAGACAGGAGUUUUCCGUCCCGGAUCUCAUUGGCACUCUUGAUGUGGAAGAAAAGGCGAGAGCAAAGGACACACGUGCUCGAGGUAUUGAGGGAGGAUCUAGAGCCAAUCUGGUACAGAAGAAGAACUUCCAGCCCCACAAGUUCAAGAACAAGGGCAAGUUUGAUGGUAAAGCAAAGUUUGAUGGGAAGAACAAGGCUGUGCAACACACGAACUUCAAGAAGAAGAAUGACAAGAAGAAAGGUGUCUGUCAUGUGUGUGGGGAUCCUGAUCAUUGGGCUCCUAGUUGCCCUAAUCGCUAUGACAAGCGUCAUCCUGGGAAAGGCGGCAAGACCCCUAAUGUUGUCAUUUGA